rnacentral:rRNA from 1 species
UACGUAGGGUGCAAGCGUUUAAUCGGAAUCACUGGGCGUAAACGCACGCAGGCGGUCGCAUCAGCUGGGGUGAACACGUUCCCGGCUUAACCGGGAAAAGGACUUCUGGAAACUGUGCGACUUGAGGGCUUCAGAGGAUGUGGAAUUCCAGGGUGGAGUGGUGAAUGCGUAGAGAAUCUGGAAGAACACCAAAGGCGAAGGCAGCGAUCCUGGGAAGUUCCUGACGCGCGGU